rnacentral:lncRNA from 1 species
CUUCUUUUCCGGUGGGCAGAGUUGGGGAGAAAGAUUCUGCGGAUUCUACUUAGGCCGACAUUGGGCAUUGAUUGGCUUCGGCUAUUUGCGCUUUGGGUCAUGAACAGCAAAACAGAAGCAGGAGACUAACUUUCUUUCCUUACUUUUUGGGCCGAGCCCUACGGCAGGGGGAAGUUCUAGAGGCGGGGAUCGAACCCGCCUCUCAGACGAGAUCGGCGCUAAGGUUGGGAACGGCCGCUCCUUGACCCGCUGUACCACUGGGAAAAAUUACGAGCCUGUUUUCUCGUUGUUUCAAUUCGAAGACUCCUCUCCCCGCUUCAGAACUGAAAAGUAUCGCACUCAAAAUUUAGCAAAAAACUGAAGUCGCGGCGCACAGGGGUGACAGGAAAAGACAGCUUUGCUCUUUCUUACUUCACCGCCACUAUCCCCAAGCGAUCUGGAAUCUAAAUUAAGGAGUUCAUUCCUCCUUUCAACGAAGAGUUUCUGGGCGUCAGGCGGAAGCUGACGCUACCCUUGCCUCGGGGAAGCUGUUACGUUCUAGACCCCAAGAGCUGAGCUUCCGGAACAGAUGGUCCGCCACCAGGCCAGUAAAGGAGAUGGGUUAAGCACGAAGCGAAUCAUCUAGAGAGGCAACUGCUCACCGGCUCAGGGAAGUGAUUCAAUUUCCAGGCCUGAGCCUACCCAGGAAGACUACCCUGACCCUCACCUAGCCGGUAAAGUGUCCUAGGAUGGGUUCAAAGUCAGAAUUUGAGCUCUUUAGGGAAGAUUCUCAAUUACUGAGCUUCGAAGGCAGUGUCAUCUUUGGUACCAGUGAGGUACGGUUUGGCACACACUGCACUCAGGUUCGAAUCCAGUCGUCCCUUCCUCAAGCUUCUGAGAAGUCGUCAGUUCAUUUUAGUAGGUGGUGAUGGUCCUGCCUGGCCCAUGCCCUAAAGAAGGUGAGAGAUAAAUUUGUCUAUGUGGCUUGUUACUCUAAGUCAGCCUCUACAAUAGUGACAUUUUGGAUCAUUCUUUACUGUGGGGGCCUGUCAUAUGCUUUGCAGAAUUUUAGCAGCAUCCUUGAUCUUUACCCACUAGACACCGGAAGUACUGUCCAGUUGUGACAACUGAAAAAGUCUCCAGACAUUGUCAAAUAUCCCCUAGGAGGCAAAAUCCUCCCUAAAUACUGAAGGUGCAACUAAAGUAUUAUUUUUCUAUGUUUGGUUUGUCUUCUCAAUCUUUUAGCAGUCUCUUUUGGAGGGCAAAAUUCUUGAUUUUAUGAAGUAUGAUUAAUCAUGUUUUUCUUUUAUGGAUCAUACUUUUCAUGUUGCAUCCAGGAAGUCUUUCCCCAAACACAGUUGACAGUUAUUUUACUCUAAAUAUUUUACAGUUUUGAUUUAUGAUCCAUAUGGAGUUAAUUUUUUAUUCAGUGUGAAGUAGGGAUCAAAAUUAUUUUUCAAAAGAACAUCACUAUUGAAAAUACUACCUUUCUGUACUGAAUUGCCUUUGAAAUUUUGUCAACAAUUAGUUGAUAAUACAUAUGUGGUUCUACCUCUGUACUCCUGUCCAAUAAGAUCUUUUUUUUAAAUUUUAAUACCAAUACUACAGUCUAGAUGAUAGCAGCUUUAUAAGUCCUGAUAUCAAAGUUCUCCAACUUUUUUCUUCUUUUCAAAAUUGUUUGGGGGCAUGAACUUUGGAAUGAGCUGGUCAUUUUCUGAAAAAAACAAAACAAAACAAAACACCCAACUCUGUUGUUAUUUUUAUUUGAAUUGCAUUGAACCUAUAAUCCAAUCUAGGGAUAACUGAUAUCUUAACAUAUUGAGACUUCUUAAUAUGUUCUCCUUGCAUUUAGGUUUUAUUUCAUUUCUCUUAGCUUAGCUUUUUUUUUUUUUUUGGUAUGCAAGUGUUGGACAUAUUUUAAUGCUAUUAUGUAUUUAGUAAGUCUAUAGUAAAUUGGAUUGCUUUUUAAAAUUUCAACUUCUGAUUGUUCAUUGUUAGUAUAUAUACUAUAAAUACAAUACAUAACAUAUAUACUAUGCAUAUAGUAUAAACAAUUACAUAUACAAUUAAUUUCAAUAUUAAUCUUAUAUUCCACCACUUUGUUAGAUUCACUUAUUAUAGCUUUCUGUAGAUUCCAUAGGAUUUUUUCCAUAGGCUUUCAUGUUUUCUUGGAAAAUAAGACAGCUUUACUUACUUUUUUAAACACAAACUUGAUGUCUUCUAUUUCAAUUUUUUUUUCAUAAUUGGGCAAAAAAAAACCUAUAGUUUAAUGUUCCAUAAAAGUGAUGAAAGCAGAUGUCCUUGGGAGUUCCCUUGUGGCACAGUGGAUUAAAGAUCCAGUAUUAUCAUUUCAGCAGCUAGGGUUACUGCUGUGCCUAGGUUUAGAUCCCACAUGUUGCAGGCAUGGCCAAAAAAAGAGGAGAAAAGAAAGCAGAUGUCCUUGUUUGCUCCUCAUCUUACAGGGGAAACAUUCAGUCUUUUAUUUAAGUUGAAGUCAGAAGUUUUCUAUAGAUGCCCUUUAUUAGGCUGAAGAAGUUCCCUUCUCUUCCUAAUUUGCUGAGAGUUUGUAUCAAGAAUGCAUGCAAAGGUUGUCAAAUGCUUUGCAUCUUUUGGUAAGAUCCAAUGAUUUUUUUUUUUUGUUAAUCUGUUAUCAUGAAUUACAUGAAUUGAUUUUGAAUAUUAAACCAACCUUGCUUUUUGGGGAUAAAGCCCACUUGAUCAUUAUAUAUUAUUAUUUCAUAUAUUGUGGAUUCAACUUGCUAAUGUAUUAAGUUUUUUUGCUUCUAUGUUCUUUAAAGAUAUUGGUCUGUAGUUUUCUUUUUUUCGUAGUGUCUUUGGCUGGUUUUGAUGCCAAAAUAUGCAGGCUUCAUAGAAAAGUUGGGAAUUAUUAUCUCUUCAUUAAUUUAAUGGGAGGAGUUGUUUAUAAAUGGCAUUAUUUCUUCCUAAAAUGUUUGUUAAAACUCGCCAGUCAAGUUUUCUGGGUCUUGUAAAUAGAUUGCAGAAUACAAAACUUGCAAUAAUUAAGGCCUAUGGGGACUUCACAACUAGCUCCUGCUUCGUGGACUGAUGUUUGAAUUAAAGAGUCUGCUUUUUGUAUUCU